CCAUAGUCCCUGCCCAUCAAUGGGACUCAGGGAGCAUCGCCUGCCUGCUCACCGCCAAGACCACCACAGCCCUCUGCAGGCUUUAGGCUUCAGACCCUCCAGAUUCUGCACACAAUAAGAUAUUCCAUUUGAAUACAACCAGAUACAAGGUCAGAACUGGGACAGAUCAUUCCCUCAAAAGGGAAGGGGAUGAUCUCCAACUGCUGACACAAAGAAGAAAUACCUUCUGCAGUGAAAUAUAUCUUCCUCAGAACAAUGUGGAAUCUAAUUAUAUAAGAAAUAAAAUCAAAUCAAGAUACAGUAGAAGCUAUGUCCAGAUCAACAGAUAAAUGAAGAAAAAUUUGAUGAUGCAGAGAGAGGAAGAAAUGUAUCACAGCAUGAAGGAGGAAGAAGAGCAGUCAUCUCUGGUACCUUGGGUGAGAGCACAGGAAGAAAGCCAUGGUCUCGCCCUUUGCUUGAGAAUGUCUGAGCAAUGAUGAACUCCGUGACCUUGGGAUGUUACCUUACUCAGGUAUGUCACUCCUGUUUGCAAGCUCCUUUUGACAGAAGUGAGUCUACUGGGAACCUGUUCUUCCAGAUGCUCAGGAAGAGUCUUCUUAGUCUCUGGAAUUUAUGAAGUCAACACAAAGCAUAGCAUUUGUACUAUUUGCUGUUAAACCUGCU
rnacentral:lncRNA from 1 species